CCCUGGCCGGAGCGCCCCGAGGCCCCGGUAGCAGAGGGGAGCCCGCGGGCGGCGGGCGGGCGUGUCGCGGCGCCCGCGUUGCGGCUAGGCCGGAGGUGCGCCGGUCCCCGCGGGGCCUGCGCGGCGCGGGCGCGGGGACGCGGGGGAGGGGCGCCCCGCGGGGCCGGUUGUGUCUCCCGGGACCCAGGGACCUCCUAAGUCCUGCGCCCCACGGAAGUCCUUGCAUCACAUUUGCACGCUCAUCCCCACCCCUGCGGAGGGAGAUGGGUCUGGUGCUUCUGGCUCAGAAGACCCAGCCACCUGCAGAAGGUGUGGCCGCUCCCCGGAGUGGCCUGGUGGGUGAAGAGGGCAGCCGGUUCCCUGGGUGAGGCUACCUGUGAAUUGCUUCGAGAAGACCAAAUGAAUGACAUGGAUUCGACCAUGUGGAUGCAGCUCACGUUUCUGCAAAGUUGAGAGAGUAAAUCACGACUGCUGUGCAUUUAUGCACGAAUAAAAUGAGGCAGAGCCUCAUGCCCCUUUGCUUUGUAGAAUGCUUUCUCCUUGCACACAGUGGGCGCUUAAUACGCGCUAAGUGCCAGUUUAGAGCGGGAUUUGCUGGGCCAUCCAGAAUGGGAGCUAAUCAUGGAAACUGUCUGCAGAAUGCCUUUGAAAACAGAAAUCUGAUGAGUAAUUGUCAAGCUUUGAAAUUUUUCAAAGUUUCAAAGUAUCUCCUUAAUAGUUUUCCCCAUGUCUUCUGAUAAAGGUGAGGUAAAGAACCUAUGCUCUCAAGUAUUGGUGGUCUGAAAAGCGGUUUAAUAGAGUAGCAAAGCUGCUGAAUCAUAUCGUGACUGAGUAGUCAUAGCUAAAAGUGCUCCAGGUAUAAAGUUUCUCAUCAUGGCUUAAACUGUAGUGAUGCAGUUUCAAGACGAGUUUUCCCAGUUCCUCACUGGACUCCCCUUACUUAUUAAACUAAACAGAAAUGAUAACAGAAAACAGUUAUCCCAAGUUCCAUCCAUUUCAUCAGUUAAUUUAUGUAAGUUGAAUGAGUAAUACUUUUAUCUGGUUAACUUUCUUAACUUGGGACUACCUGCUGAUUGAAAGAUAAUUUAGUUUUAACAUGAAUUAAACACAAUUAUUUCUUACGAGUUAACUUGGAGCCAGAUGAUUUAGACUAGCAUUGGUAAAUCAUAAGCCUCUUAUUUUGAGUUGGCAAAGUUUUCCCAGUAUUGUGCAGCUAUCUUUAAAGAGGGUCAAGGGUUUAUGAAUUUUCUAAAGCUAAACUUUUAAGUGAUGAUAUCUUACUCCCAAAGGUCUAAUUAUUUUCUUUCAAUGGUGAGAGGAUUGAAAAAGAAGUUUAAAUUGUUUUGGCAAGGCUAACAGUUAUUAUACUUGGGAAAUAGUUGUUCCAGCAAAGUUUUUGAAAAAUAGAUGUUAAAAUGAACAAACACUUGAACCCAAAGCUUGAAGAGGCUGACUGGAACUGCUGUGUGCCUCAGAUGAGAAGAGGCCUUCACAGGACAGCGGGCCAUGCAGAAAGAGAUAGGAUUGGAGCUCAUGAAGAAGAACGUUUGGCCUAGCUGGUGCUGUAUAAAUACACUUUAGAUAAAGAAGCAAGAGUCAACAUACAGAAGUACUCAUGAAAGCUCUACAUUUUAUUAUUUAUUGUCAUUUGCUCUACACGUGAUAUACGAUAAGCUCUAUACAUGAGAUAAUGAGGGGUUUUGUUUGUUUGUUUGUUUGUUUUUUUGUAAAUGGUUGGUUCACUGAUUUAAUGUUUUAAUCAGCUAGUGGCCCCAUUAAAGAUUCAUGAAGAGACCUAAGAUGUAUAUGUUAUUUUAGUUUUAUUCAAGGGUCUUAUUUAGUAUCUUAUAUAUCUGUAAGAGGGUUAGACUCCUUUUGAAUUGUUACCAUUUAAUCUCUAGUCAAAAGCACUGACAGACUUUUCAAAAUCCGUAGUUUUCAUUAUUACUAUUGUUUAUCACUCAGAUUACCCACGUUAAGUUGUGAGUGGCAGUCUUUCUCAUAUAUAUAUAUAUAGAUAGAUUUAUGUGUAUGUGUAUGUACGUAUAUGUAUAUAUGUGUAUGUAUGUAUAGAUUUAUGUAUGUGUAUGUAUAUAUGUGUAUGUACAUAUAUACACACAUACACACACACACACACACACACACACACACACACACACAUAUAUAUAUGCGCUUACAUGGCUGCAUUUUCAUGUGUAUGGUGAUUCUGAUUAUUGGGCUUGUAGCGUCACCUUCAAAACACCAGUUUUACCCUGCGCUUCCAGCCACAGCUCUUGCUUUUACUCUUUUCCAUUUCUCGUAAGGAACAAGGAACUGUGGCUUCAAAGACAAAAUAAAUCUGCUUUCACUAGUCUUUUUCUUAAGCAGCAUUUUUCCUCCUUCAAGAUGCUUCUUAAAGACACACGUUCUUCUGAUUUGCUCUUUGCUUUUUUUCCUUUCAUUUCUGUUUGUUUGGUACUGGAGCUAGGUCCUGUCUCCGUAAACACCCCAAGUAUUCUAAGCCCAAGCCUGCCCCACUCACUCACUCACUCACAUGCUGGGUAACUGUGAAGUGCUACCCUCUCCACUCCCCACUGUCUACACAGAGGCCUGGUGCUGUUUCCUGGAGACCAGAGAAGCUUCUCCUGGUGAGUGGAUGCUCGAGUUGGUAGAAACACUCUUUGUGUGACCGUCAUAAAUAGGUGAGGUUAAACUGGUGACAAGGGAGCUUGGAAACACAGAGAACACUAAAUUCAGCAAGAAGGUCAUGCCCCAGACUUGUGCAUGAACAGUGUAUCACUGCUGUGGAAUCUUACACUGUAUCACUGCUGUGAAACCUUUUGGCUUUGGGACUCAGAAAGCAAUUGUGGCCAUUAGCUGGUAUCAUCUUUGGGUGCAUAUGUGAAAUUACACCUGGAUUUUGAAUUUAUUUAUGUAAUAGCCUAGCACUUGCUUUUUGCCAAUAUUCUAAAUAUUUUGGGGUUCUUUUGUUUGUUUGUUUUUGUGAAGGAAAACAAAACACCAGAGUUUGGGGUAUCUUAAAUGCUAAUGAAAGAAGAUGAAUAACAAUUUAAGUAAAUGAAGGAGUGUUGAAAGGUAGUUAAUGAUACAGAAGUUAGAAUAAGGUACAGUAGAUUUGGAGUAAUGAAUGUUAGGAUUUUAAAUAAAUGGUCAGGAUAGUCCCUAGAAGCUAACACAAGGGUCACAAUUUUGAGAGGUGACAUGAGAGGGAGCAGGGAGAUGGGAUCAUGCCUUUGGAAGAGAGACUCGGGAAUCUGACCCAAUUUUGUUCUUAUAGUGGCGAUGAACUAACAUGUCCGAUGAACUCAGAGAACUAACUUCCCCUGGAUGGCAAGAGCACACCUUAGCUGUCACUUAUUAUGCAGGUUUCCAUUUAUGGGGCUAAAAUCUUAGUCACAGGAAGUGGCUUUCCCUAAGCCAGGACGGGCAUCUCUAGACCUAGAACAUCACUGGAGUUGAUAUUUUUACCUAUUUCCCUAUAAUCCACAGGUGCUUCAUUUCAUUGAGUAGGUAUGUAAGCUAUCAACUUAAUAAAGCCAAAGCCUCUGAAAAGAAACGUGAGGGUAAUUCCUAUCAAUAAUGUAGAUUCGCUUCCUGAGAUGACUUAAUAAAUGUUAUGGCUUGAAUGAGGAAGGUCUCCCAUAGGUUCAUGGGCCUAGAUAAUAGGUCCUCAAAUGGUAGUACAGCUAGUUAUAGAAGGCCGUGUGACUUUUAAGAAGUAGAAGCCAGCUGGAGGAAGUAGGCCUUUGGGGAAAAGAAGGUCCUGGAGCCCUGCCCCACUUCCUGUCUGUGGUCUGCUUCUUGAUUAGUGCUGCAGUGUGACCAGCUACCGCACACUUCUUGCCGCCAUGCCAGACUGUACCUUAUUUCUUGAGCCAAAAGAAAUGUUCUUGUAAGUUCUUUUUGUCAGGUAUUUUAUGACAACAAUAAGAGAAGUAACUUUGAUUUUUAAAAAAAGUACUGAGAAGUGGGGCAGGUGCUAUAAUAAAUUAGAUUAUAGAAGUCUUUGGAACUAGUUUAUGGGAGUCAUGUGGAAGACUGGACUAGAAUAGAGGAACCUCACUACACCAUAAACAGAGCUUAGUGGGUCAUUCUGUUGGGAAGAUCAAAAUGCAGAGAUAAAUGUGGAGAGUAGAGGCCUAAGUCAGGAACAGGACUAGAGGACACUGGCAUUACAUUCUGGUAAAGAGUCUAUCUUUAUUCUGUUCAUAUCCUGAGAACUUAGACCGAAUUCAAAAGUGAUAGACUAAUUUGUUUGGUAGAGUAAAUUUCCAGGCAGGAUAGCAUUUAGGCUGUGCUAUGGUUACUGCUCACUGUCCUUCGUCUAGGGUUACAAUUAAAAAGAGCAACAAAAUGGAGCAGGAGGACCUAAAGAAAAUUCUAGUUUCCUGAGGCAAGGAGCAGGUUUAAGGUCGCAGACAUGGCAGGUGCUGAAAAAAACUCUUGUAGUUAUUUAAGGAGAUGAACACAGUUAAAGAAACUUCCCAUUCUGCACUGGCACAACUGGGAUGGUACCAAGGACAAGCUCCCACCUAGUAAAGGCUCCAUCUAAUGAAAAUCAGAUUUAUUAGAAGGGAGGGUGCCUGAGCUGAGAGUGCUACCGAAGUGCAUCCCUGCCUGAUGACAACUGUUUUUCUGCCUGGAAAACGGUUUUGCAGAUUCAGCAACCAACAAACACAGAGCCACUCUAGCUUUGAUCCAGAGGGCCCAGGCUACAUCUCAAGAUGACAGCAGAACCUGGCAGUGACCUCCAAAUUGCCGAUAGUAAAGGCUUAAAGAUGUAAGAGUAAGGGGCUUGGGGAGGAGGGCUGUCCUAUAGGCUUUUGCCAAGAUUCUAGAAGGCUGCUAACUCCAGGCAAUGUGUGGAAGAAUUGGCUUCCCUGUACUGAGGCCUGAGAGGCCAUUGCAUGAAUUGGGAAAAUGAAGUUGAAGUUGCAGUGAAAACCCCCCAGCCCCCAGUGUGCUAAAACUUUCAGGACCAUAGAGUAUUGCUGAGGAAGGACUCAGGUGGCACAGCUGGCCAGGGCUUCCGAGGCUCUUGGAGUCCAGGUGAUUCAUUCUAUCAUGGAUGUCAAAUGCCAGGUAUGGAGCUGCAGAACUUGGUGGUUUUCCUGUUAGCUUUUGGUCUUGCAUUGGUCUAAUUUUUCCUUACUGUGCCCUACUUCCUCCCUUUUGGAAUGGAAGCCCUUAUGCCAUUGUGUGCAUUAUGUGUUGGAAGUAUGUAUCUGAUUUUUAGAUAUCAUGGGCUUAGAGUUAAGGAUAAUUGCCCCUAGUCUCAGAAGAGACUUUGGGAUUUGGAACAGUGUUGGGAGGGUUUUUUUUUUUAGGUUUAUUUUUAUUUGUGUGUGUGUGUGUGUGUGUGUGUGUGUAAAUACCACAUGUUUGCAGGUUCCCAGGUCACAAGAGAAGAGAGUGUCAGGAGUGAUAGUGACGUCUGACGUGCCUGCUGGGUCUUCUGGAAAGGCGGCACGUUACCCAUAUCUGCUGAGCCGUCUCUCCGGCUCCUCCCCACUUUUCAGUUAGUGCUCCUGCUUGUUCAUCAUUUACAAUGCGUUGUCGCCUGUGUGUUUGCUGGGAACUCAACCAGGGCCUCAAGCUCCAUCCCCAACCCCCUGGUGGGGUAUGUGCAGUUUUCAUUUUGUGUUGACCAUGACUCUGUGGGGAAUGGGACAGACUGAAAUAUUACGGUUUGGGUGUGAACUCUUUCCUUAGCCCCUGUUAGUCCUCACAAGGCCCCAGAACCUUUAGGAUGUGGUGCUUUGCCGAAGAAAGUGGGUCACAAAGAGCGGCCUUGAGGUCUUACAGUCCAGUGCCCUUUCCAGUCUGCUUCUUGUUUGCUGAUGUGACCAGCCACCUUAUACUCUUGCCACCAUGCCUUCUUCACCAUGAUAAGUAAGGGCUCCUCAAACUGGCAGCCCUUAAACCCCUUUCCCCGGACAGACGUUGCUUCUAGUCAGGUAUUUGAUUUAUUUAAUGAAUGCAGUAAGGUCUUGCAGUAUCAAAGCAGCAUUACAGUGGAGUAGAAAGCUGGACAGUGUGUGUAGGCCUUUAGCCAGCCCUACUUCACAGCUAAGUAAAACGAAGCACAAAGGCAUAACUUCACUGUGCUUUCAUGGCUGGUAAGUAUGAGUUAUGAUUUUCAUUCUGAUAGAUAUGCAAAGCUGGGUCUGAGAAAUGGGGUUGCACUCUUCCUGUGUCCCUUCCAUGCACAGCUGGUCUGUUUCCCUAGAAUGUAGCUGAACUGGAAGCAGCAUAGCGAGUCCGGCAUGCUUGAGACUGGUCAUACACCUCUGCAGCUUGUCACCUUCGGACUGUGGACAGGCCACUUAUGUGUACUGUGUCUUUUCUAUAAGUAAAGAUAACAAUAGCAUCUUCUCAUGAAGAUUAUAUAGGGUAGCCUGCAUAGAGGCUAACAACAGAGUUGUGUCCAUCUACCCUCAGUGCUGUUUGAUUACUUCAGUGAUGAUGUGAGUCUCCAGGACACCCUGAAGAGAUGUCCUGUGCUCUGUGCUGCAGCCUUUGGCCACAGUUACUUCUGUGUGGCCAGAAGUACUUCAGAUCCUGGCAAAGGCCUUAGCCACUGUGGACCAGGAAAGUGGUGUCAAGGCCAGUGGCUAAGAACAUGGCUUUUCCCUUGGCCUGAACAUGUCUGAAAAGACCAGCACUGGAAAGAGGCACUGUGCCUGGGACCUGUGGGCACCUUCCCCUAAGGAGUUUUGCUGUAGGGAGAAGGGAUGGAUGAAUGGGAUGGAUAUUAAUAAAUGAAAGGCUUGUUGCUGCCUUCCUGCUUUCUCUGCACCCCGUGGCUUGGCAGCAAGAUCUGUGCUACUCCUUGCCUUCCCAAGAAGGCUUUGGGUACAGAGCUGAAAGAUUUGAAACAUGUACCUUCUCACAGGCACACAACCAUAGCUGCUAUAAUAGCCCCCAAGUCUAACUGCAUCACAAAACAGUCUUCAGUAUUUUCUCCACCUGUUCGUUUCUCCUGUAGAGUCAAAUCAGCCUGUAUGAAACAUCCCUACUGAACAUGUUUAGAAAACUUCACCGUUAUUUGUUUGCUUUCCUUUAGUGUACACGGUUCUGACAUGUAACUGAAGUAUCUGCUUACAACAAAACGGUGGACAAGUCUCCAUAGUUCGUAGAAGAUGGUUUUCUUUAGAGUUCCUGUAUUCUAUAGAUAUCACUCAUGUAGACAGUUCUAGAAAUACAAGCUGACAGCUGUUUUCAGAGAAUUCAAGUCUUACCAUUGGUGACAGGGAGGAAGCCUCAAGGCUGAAGCAGGUUGGUGACACUCAGAGGGGCUUUCCAGGGACUGUCUGGAAACCAUUGCCUUCUGUUUAGACCAGUAUCCGAGGCAGAGGCACUGCUCCCAACCCUUGAGAAAAGAUCCUCCUUCCUCCCUCACCUUUGUUCUCUGCCUUCUCCCUCUGCCAUUGACCCUUGGCUCUCUACCUUCAGAUUUUGAUGGUGUGACUAUGACUAUGCUAGCUAUCGAAGACGUGCUUUCUGAGUUACACAUAUUCAUCUUAUUUCACGAUCAUCUAAUAGACAGUAUGUUUGUUCACACUGAGUUGGGUAAAGUGCUGACCCUCAAAUAUGUAUUAUGGAAUCUGAAAAUCAGAACUACCAAUGUCAGAAAUUUAUGUAUGGUUUUCAAAAUUCCUUUCAUUUUACACUCUAAAUCAGAGUUGGAAGAAAAUUGCAUUUUCUUGGGUCCAAUGAGAUGACUUGGUAAGUUAAAACCCUUGCUAUAGAAACCUGAGGAUCUGAGGUCAAUAUCCAAUCUUUUUUCCCUCAUUUUGUAACUAGGGCUAACUUGCAGUAUGGACUAGGGCUGGUUUAGAACUCAGAUAUUCACCUGCCUCAGUC